rnacentral:rRNA from 1 species
AGAGUUUGAUCCUGGCUCAGAGUGAACGCUGGCGGCGUGCCUAAUACAUGCAAGUCGAACGGACAAGUAAGAGCUUGCUCUUAUGAGUUAGUGGCGCACGGGUGAGUAAUGUAUAGUUAAUCUGCCCUACACUGGAGGACAACAGUUAGAAAUGACUGCUAAUACUCCAUACUCCUUCUUAACACAAGUUAAGUCGGGAAAGUUUUUUCGGUGUAGGAUGAGACUAUAUUGUAUCAGCUAGUUGGUGAGGUAAUGGCUCACCAAGGCUAUGACGCAUAACUGGUCUGAGAGGAUGAUCAGUCACACUGGAACUGAGACACGGUCCAGACUCCUACGGGAGGCAGCAGUAGGGAAUAUUGCUCAAUGGGGGAAACCCUGAAGCAGCAACGCCGCGUGGAGGAUGACACUUUUCGGAGCGUAAACUCCUUUUGUUAGGGAAGAACAAUGACGGUACCUAACGAAUAAGCACCGGCUAACUCCGUGCCAGCAGCCGCGGUAAUACGGAGGGUGCAAGCGUUACUCGGAAUCACUGGGCGUAAAGGACGCGUAGGCGGAUUAUCAAGUCUUUUGUGAAAUCUAAUGGCUCAACCAUUAAACUGCUUGAGAAACUGAUAAUCUAGAGUGAGGGAGAGGCAGAUGGAAUUGGUGGUGUAGGGGUAAAAUCCGUAGAGAUCACCAGGAAUACCCAUUGCGAAGGCGAUCUGCUGGAACUUAACUGACGCUAAUGCGUGAAAGCGUGGGGAGCAAACAGGAUUAGAUACCCUGGUAGUCCACGCCCUAAACGAUGUAUACUAGUUGUUGCUGUGCUAGUCAUGGCAGUAAUGCACCUAACGGAUUAAGUAUACCGCCUGGGGAGUACGGUCGCAAGAUUAAAACUCAAAGGAAUAGACGGGGACCCGCACAAGCGGUGGAGCAUGUGGUUUAAUUCGAAGAUACGCGAAGAACCUUACCUGGGCUUGAUAUCCUAAGAACCUUGUAGAGAUACGAGGGUGCUAGCUUGCUAGAACUUAGUGACAGGUGCUGCACGGCUGUCGUCAGCUCGUGUCGUGAGAUGUUCGGUUAAGUCCGGCAACGAGCGCAACCCACGUAUUUAGUUGCUAACAGUUCGGCUGAGCACUCUAAAUAUACUGCCUUCGUAAGGAGGAGGAAGGUGUGGACGACGUCAAGUCAUCAUGGCCCUUAUGCCCAGGGCGACACACGUGCUACAAUGGCAUAUACAAUGAGACGCAAUAUCGCGAGAUGGAGCAAAUCUAUAAAAUAUGUCCCAGUUCGGAUUGUUCUCUGCAACUCGAGAGCAUGAAGCCGGAAUCUCUAGUAAUCGUAGAUCAGCCAUGCUACGGUGAAUACGUUCCCGGGUCUUGUACUCACCGCCCGUCA